ACCAGCAGCUCCCGAGCAGGCCCUGCUAGAGCCAGGAAUGACGCACUUCGGUAACCCGACUCUUUCUCCCCUCCACCCCCGCCCCCAGCAGCGGUGCUGACACCGCCAACAGCCCGGAGUAGGAAAAAAGACAACAGAAAAAAAGGCAGAGGUUGGACCGCACUAGGUUUCAUCAAGAAACCUCGAUGAUUCCUCUUUCGACACUAACCACUAGGACUAAACAGGAAAAGAAGCUUCGUGCUUAAGCAAGUCCCAUCAUGGUGGUUUAAGAGUCACUAAAUUAAGCUGAUAAUGAGUCCAAUCCACAGAGACAAAUACAGGGUGUGGCUGCUGCGAAAUACGGCGGUCCGUGGGAGAAAAGGGGUAUGGAAUUUACACUCCAGUGUGAAGGGAAGAUGGGGCUUUAUGGUGGGAGAAGGGGGUGGCCCGCGCAUUUUAAGGAACCAUUGCAAACCAACACAAGCGCCUCGUUUACUUUAAAUCUAACCUUACAGAUCAAAAGUUUCCAAUAGAUAUAUCAUGUAAACUGUAAAUUACCAUUUAAUCCAACACCAUGGCCCUCAAUUUAAAAACUACAUCCAAGAGAAAGAAGGAGGGAGAGGGAAGAGGGGUGGUAGGCAACAACAUAAAAAACAUUCUAGGCCACGGAAGAGAAAGUCUCACAAACCGGAUGAAACUACUAAUACAAUAUUAAAAAUUAAAGCCGAGCACUGAAGCACGAAAAUCACACGAUAACCCAUUACAGUUAAGGAUUAAAAAUAAAAUGACAUAUGCACCAAGGGGGAGCGGAAACUAAAUGUCGAAAGUACAGCGGUUUAUAAAAAACUAAAGGCAAAACAAGACAUUCUCGCGACGGGGGGAAAAAAAGGCCGAAAUCAACAAUACGUUCACAAUUCUAGGCCAAAAGAAAAUGGGAACGGGGCUCAAAGUUUUGCGGAACUACUUGAUGCUGUUUCCCACACCUUCUCUCUCCCACGGCCCAUCCGACCCUUUUCGUCCCAAAAUCGCCGUCCGCAGAUCUCCGGAUCCAGGGGAGAAGAAAAAAGAAAGUCGACCCCGAGCAAGAAUAAAAGUGUGGAGUGAAAACGCACAGGCUGCCUACCUGGGGCAAGGAUCAGCUCAGUUCGUGCCUUGAGAAAGACAGUGCGGGUGGGGGUGGGAAUGAAAAGCAGCACUAAAACUAAAACAAAAGUGGCGCCAAAACCCCCCAACAAACAGCCUUCCACUCCCGCCCUUCCCCCCUCCGCCCAUGCCAGGCAGGCAGGGCCCCCUUCGGGGCAAGGUCUGCGCGCGGGGGCCAACACCGCCAGACCCCAGCCAAUUUAGAAAAUUGUUGCCCGAAGAAAACUGACCGAAGUCGGGCCUCGGAAGGGAUGGAGAGAUCGAUGCCAAUCGCCUUCCCCAGCAGUUCCCCCACCACGCGCUGGAGAUGAUGGGGCGGGGGAGAAGCAGAGGGGCCCGUCACAUGAAUGUUGUUCCCUCUCUAGGAAGGGAGGAAGAGAGGGAGGGAGGGGGGAGGGAGGGAAGGGAGGAGGGGAAGGGAGAAGGGAGGGGGCACGAGGGAGGGGUGUGAUCAGAGUAGAUUUUCCCUCGCCUCCCUCGGUCCGAGGCCCAAAUAUACACAACUGAGCCUCCUUUCUCCCCUCCCCCCUAGGUUCCCAGCACCACCAUUUUGCUCUCUGCCUUCCCCUCACCGCGACACCGCGCUCUCCCCCACCCCAACCACAGCCUCCCGGCUUUCCUCCCCCGACUACGGCUCGCACCCCACCCCACCUCCAGUUCGGGCUCUCCUAGGCUUAGGAGCCUGCCGGAGAAAAGGAACCUAAAUCUACUGCUACACAGAGAAGCGGAGCCUCCAUCUUGCGCUGCUCCGCGUUCUCCAUUUUGGGCCACCCAUGGGGGGGGGGGGUCUCCGUAGAGGCCCCGAGGGAGAGUUGGGCGAGGGAAGGAAGAGAAAAUCUUCAGCGAGGGUAGUCGAAAAGAAGAGCCCUGCGGUAGAAAGCCACUCUAGGAGUAGGAGUGUAUUGGACCUUUGACCGCCAAGAGCUCUUUACUCGGGGGAGAAAAACUCGAGGAGGGCCUAUCCCCUCCAAAGCGCCGCUUUUUCCUUGGACAGGAAGAAGUGACCUAUUGCAGUGUCUCCAUUGCUGUUAUAGAAGUUCGUAGAUUCAUAAAAUAGUGUUUGCUUA
rnacentral:lncRNA from 1 species